GAGACACCCUUAUGGGGCAAGACUUGCUUCAGUGGGGCUUUGGCACUCACUGAGUUUGCCCCCUGAGUGUGUCUCU
rfam:Myotis brandtii contig309951, whole genome shotgun sequence.